GGGGAAUCUUGCNCAAUGGGCGAAAGCCUGACGCAGCCAUGCCGCGUGAAUGAUGAAGGUCUUAGGAUUGUAAAAUUCUUUCACCGGGGACGAUAAUGACGGUACCCGGAGAAGAAGCCCCGGCUAACUUCGUNCCAGCAGCCGCGGUAAUACGAAGGGGGCUAGCGUUUUUCGGAAUUACUGGGCGUAAAGGGAGCGUAGGCGGACAUUUAAGUCAGGGGUGAAAUCCCGGGGCUCAACCUGGGAAUUGCCUUUGAUACUGGGUGUCUUGAGUAUGAGAGAGGUGUGUGGAACUCCGAGUGUAGAGGUGAAAUUCGUAGAUAUUCGGAAGAACCCCAGUGGCGAAGGCGNCACACUGGCUCAUUACUGACGCUGAGGCUCGAAAGCGUGGGGAGCAAACAGGAUUAGAUCCCCUGGUAGUCCACCCCGUAAACGAUGAUUGCUAGUUGUC
rnacentral:rRNA from 1 species